rnacentral:rRNA from 1 species
GGCUUAGAGUUUGAUCAUGGCUCAGGACGAACGCUGGCGGCAUGCCUAACACAUGCAAGUCGAACGGAGACAGCAAUGUCUUAGUGGCGAACGGGUGAGUAACGCGUGAGCAACCUGCCUCGUACAACGGGAUACCUGCGAGAAAUUGCAGUUAAUACGGUAUAAGACCACGCCGUCGCAUGACGGAGGGGUAAAAGGGAGCAAUUCCGGUAUGAGAUGGGCUCGCGUCGCAUUAGCUAGUUGGUGGGGUAACGGCCUACCAAGGCGACGAUGCGUAGCCGACCUGAGAGGGUAAUCGGCCACAUUGGGACUGAGAUACGGCCCAGACACCUACGGGUGGCAGCAGUGAGGAAUAUUCCGCAAUGGGCGAAAGCCUGACGGAGCAAUGCCGCGUGAAUGAAGAAGGUCUUCGGAUUGUAAAGUUCUUUAGUCAGGGACGAAGAAAGUGACGGUACCUGAAGAAUAAGCCCCGGCUAACUACGUGCCAGCAGCCGCGGUAAUACGUAGGGGGCAAGCGUUGUCCGGAAUGACUGGGCGUAAAGGGUGUGUAGGCGGUUUUGCAAGUUAGGAGUGAAAUACCCGGGCUUAACCCGGGUGCUGCUUUUAAGACUGUAAGACUUGAGUGCAGGAGAGGCUAUCG